AUUGAACGCUGGCGGCAGGCCUAACACAUGCAAGUCGAGCGGAUGAAGGGAGCUUGCUCCUGGAUUCAGCGGCGGACGGGUGAGUAAUGCCUAGGAAUCUGCCUGGUAGUGGGGGAUAACGUCCGGAAACGGGCGCUAAUACCGCAUACGUCCUGAGGGAGAAAGUGGGGGAUCUUCGGACCUCACGCUAUCAGAUGAGCCUAGGUCGGAUUAGCUAGUUGGUGGGGUAAAGGCCUACCAAGGCGACGAUCCGUAACUGGUCUGAGAGGAUGAUCAGUCACACUGGAACUGGAACCCGAUGCAGACCACUACGGGAGGCAGCAGUAGGGAAUAGUCGACUUUGGGCGAAAGCCUGAUCCAGCCAGGCCGCGUGUGUGAAGAAGGUCCUCGGAUAGUAAAGCACUUUAAGUUGGGAGGAAGGGCAGUAAGUUGAUACCUUGCUGUUUUGACGUUACCAGCAGAAUAAGCACCGGCUAACUUCGUG
rnacentral:rRNA from 1 species